rnacentral:rRNA from 1 species
CUAUACAUGACUCUGCGCAUAUCAAUAAGCGGAGGAAAAGAAACUAACAAGGAUUCCCUUAGUAACGGCGAGUGAAGCGGGAAGAGCUCAAAUCUUGAAAUCUUCAAGGUUCUACCUUGACGAAUUGUAGUUUAUAAGAAGUGUUUUCUGUUAGUAGGAGUGGCAAAAGUUCUUUGGAAUAGGACAUCCAUAGAGGGUGAGAAUCCCGUAUUUGGUCAUUCCUUCUAGCUUUGUGAUACACUUUCAAAGAGUCGGAUUGUUUGGGAAUGCAGUCCAAAAUGGGUGGUAAAUUUCAUCUAAAGCUAAAUAUUGGCGAGAGACCGAUAGCGAACAAGUACCGUGAGGGAAAGAUGAAAAGAACUUUGAAAAGAGAGUUAAACAGUACGUGAAAUUGUCAAAAGGGAAGCGUUUGACACCAGUGUUGUUUUUCCGAAAAUCAAUUACUAAAUGUUUUGUUUUCUGAGGAGUGAUGACUUCAUCGGCUUGCUUCUCUCUUUCACGAAACUUUUCGUAAUGCACUAUUCGGUUAACAAGUCAACAUCAAUUUCUUUUGUUGUAAAAGAGGUAUUAGGAAGGUGGCUUUCUUUUCGGAGAAAGUGUUUAUAGCCCUUAUACCUUCUACAAUCGGAGAGAUUGAGGUCUGCAGCGUAGAUCCUUCGGGGUUAGAUACAUUUGUGCUAGGUUAUAGCUUUUCAUAGACAACUUGUUGACUAUGUUUAGUCUUGUAGCUUACUCGCUUAUGCUAUUUACCUACGCUUAGGAUGUUGACACACGCGCGUGCUCG